rnacentral:lncRNA from 1 species
UGAAAAGCCUUCUUUGAUCAGCUUCAAACAUCUUAACCUGAAAUUACUCAACACACAAGGUUGACAGAUAAAAAUAAUCCUCACACUCUUAAGUGUUUGAUCUCGCCCACUCAAGUGUUUCUCUCAGAAUUUGGAUAGUCUCAUAAACAAGUUUCCACUCAAGGUUCUAAGAAGAACAUAUCAAAGAAACACAAUGGACAAUUUCCAAGCAAACACAAGGGAAUUUCUUAAGAGAGAAAGAUAAG